rnacentral:rRNA from 1 species
AGAGUUUGAUCCUGGCUCAGAACGAACGCUGGCGGCAGGCUUAAUACAUGCAAGUCGAACGAGAACGGUACUUCGGUACUUAUUAUAGUGGCGCACGGGUGAGUAACGCGUGGGAAUGUACCCUGAAGUAAGGGAUAACAGUUAGAAAUGACUGCUAAUACCUUAUAAUGACUCCGGUCUAAAGAUUUAUCGCUUCAGGAUCAGCCCGCGUUGGAUUAGUUUGUUGGUGGGGUAAUGGCCUACCAAGACUACGAUCUAUAGCUGGUCUGAGAGGAUGAUCAGCCACACUGGAACUGAGACACGGUCCAGACUCCUACGGGAGGCAGCAGUAGGGAAUAUUGGACAAUGGGCGAAGGCCUGAUCCAGCCAUGCCGCGUGUGUGAUGAAGGCCUUAGGGUUGUAAAACACUUUCAUUGGUGAAGAUAACGACGGUAACCAAAGAAGAAGCUCCGGCUAACUUCGUGCCAGCAGCCGCGGUAAUACGAAGGGAGCUAGCGUUGUUCGGAAUUACUGGGCGUAAAGCGCGCGUAGGCGGGCUAUCAAGUCAGAGGUGAAAUCCCGAAGCUUAACUUCGGAACUGCCUUUGAAACUGGUAGCCUAGAAUCUUGGAGGGGGUGGUGGAAUUCCUAGUGUAGAGGUGAAAUUCGUAGAUAUUAGGAGGAACACCGGUGGCGAAGGCGACCACCUGGACAAGUAUUGACGCUAAGGCGCGAAAGCGUGGGGAGCAAACAGGAUUAGAUACCCUGGUAGUCCACGCCGUAAACGAUGAGUGCUAGCUGUUGGGACCUUAGGUCUCAGUGGCGCCGCUAACGCAUUAAGCACUCCGCCUGGGGAGUACGGUCGCAAGAUUAAAACUCAAAGGAAUUGACGGGGACCCGCACAAGCGGUGGAGCAUGUGGUUUAAUUCGAGGCAACGCGAAGAACCUUACCAGACCUUGACAUGCCUCUCGCGGAAUUCAGAGAUGAAUUCCUUCAGUUCGGCUGGAGAGUGCACAGGUGCUGCAUGGCUGUCGUCAGCUCGUGUCGUGAGAUGUUGGGUUAAGUCCCGCAACGAGCGCAACCCUCAUCUUUAGUUGCCAGCAUUUAGUUGGGCACUCUAGAGAAACUGCCGGGGUUAACCCGGAGGAAGGUGGGGAUGACGUCAAGUCUUCAUGGCCCUUAUGGUCUGGGCUACACACGUGCUACAAUGGUAGUGACAAUGAGCAGCGAUCCCGCGAGGGUAAGCUAAUCUCCAAACACUAUCUCAGUUCGGAUCGGACUCUGCAACUCGAGUCCGUGAAGUUGGAAUCGCUAGUAAUCGUAGAUCAGCAUGCUACGGUGAAUACGUUCCCGGGUCUUGUACACACCGCCCGUCACACCAUGGGAGUAGGUUCUACCUUAAGUCGGUGCGCCAAUCUGGCAGCCGCCCACGGUAGGAUCCAUGACUGGGGUGAAGUCGUAACAAGGUA